rnacentral:lncRNA from 1 species
CACGUUUAGCAGGUUGUCUACUAAAAGUUGGAGUUUCUACAGGUGGGUGUGCCGGUGCAUUACUUGAGUUAUGAACAGGACUAGUAGGUGUAUCAUUUAAAUCUGGUUCUUGGGUUUCAUCAUCAUCAUCAUCAUCCUCAUUUUCCUCUAAGAUAGGUUCAUUAGGAUAAAGAACAUCCAUAAUUUCAUCAUCUAAUCUAUCACCUACCGCAACAUCAUGUAGAAAUUCACUAUCGGUAAAUUGAAAACAAGGGAGAUCAUUAUCAAGCAUUACGGGAGGCG